GACGAACGCUGGCGGCGUGCUUAACACAUGCAAGUCGAACGGAAAGGCCCUGCUUGCAGGGUGCUCGAGUGGCGAGCGGGUGAGUAACACGUGGGUGAUCUGCCCCUUACUUUGGGAUAAGCCUGGGAAACUGGGUCUAAUACUGGAUAGGACCAUGCUGUAGGUGGUGUGGUGGAAAGAUUAGUUUCGGUAAGGGAUGAGCUCGCGGCCUAUCAGCUUGUUGGUGGGGUAAUGGCCUACCAAGGCGUCGACGGGUAGCCGGCCUGAGAGGGUGGACGGCCACAUUGGGACUGAGAUACGGCCCAGACUCCUACGGGAGGCAGCAGUGGGGAAUAUUGCACAAUGGGCGCAAGCCUGAUGCAGCGACGCCGCGUGGGGGAUGACGGCCUUCGGGUUGUAAACUCCUUUCAGCCAUGACGAAGCCCUUGUGGUGACGGUAGUGGUAGAAGAAGCACCGGCUAACUACGUG
rnacentral:rRNA from 1 species